UACGUAGGCAGCAAGCGUUGUUCGGAAUUACUGGGCGUAAAGAGUGUGUAGGCGGUGCUCCAAGUCUGGUGUGAAAUCUCCCGGCUCAACUGGGAGGGUGCGCUAGAAACUGGAAUGCUAGAGGAUGGGAGAGGUAAGCGGAAUUCCUGGUGUAGCGGUGAAAUGCGUAGAUAUCAGGAGGAACACCGGCGGUGUAGACGGCUUUCUGGACCGUAGCUGACGCUGAGACACGAAAGCGUGGGUAGCAAACAGG
rnacentral:rRNA from 1 species